GACCAGACUCCUACGGGAGGCAGCAGUGGGGAAUAUUGCACAAUGGGGGAAACCCUGAUGCAGCGACGCCGCGUGAGUGAAGAAGUAAUUCGUUAUGUAAAGCUCUAUCAGCAGGGAAGAAAAUGACGGUACCUGAGUAAGAAGCCCCGGCUAACUACGUGCCAGCAGCCGCGGUAAUACGUAGGGGGCAAGCGUUAUCCGGAUUUACUGGGUGUAAAGGGAGCGUAGACGGCAGUGCAAGUCUGAUGUGAAAGGCCGGGGCCCAACCCCGGGACUGCAUUGGAAACUGCGAGGCUGGAGUGUCGGAGAGGCAGGCGGAAUUCCUAGUGUAGCGGUGAAAUGCGUAGAUAUUAGGAGGAACACCAGUGGCGAAGGCGGCCUGCUGGACGAUGACUGACGCUGAGGCUCGAAAGCGUGGGGAGCAAACAGGAUUAGAUACCCUCGUA
rnacentral:rRNA from 1 species